ACACACACACACACACACACACGCACACGCACACAUGCGCACACACACAGAGCAACUAUCCCUAAAUCACGAAGAUCCAAGAUGAAAAGAAAUACCACGGCCGGAAGAGGAGAAAACUCAGACCCGUCAGUCGACAAGGCAACUCCGGGGCUGCUGGCAGUAGACGAAUCAAUCGCUUCCCCGGUGCGGGAAUCAGUGGCGGCUGCCACCACUGCUGCAAAACCCGGUGUGAGCAAGGGAGGGGGCAGCAGUUUCCCGGAGCAGGGGGAGCCAAGCCUGCCUUCCUCCUCCGUGAUUUAUGUGUGAGAAGGAGAAAAGAAUUGACAGCCAAUCCAGAAUGGUAUAUGCCAGCCUCACCUUUCAGUUCAUGGUUUGAGUGGGAUGAAGUUGGGAGAUUAUAAAAGGUCUAAAUCAGACAAUUGAGCCAUGGCCAAAGACCUAAACCCCAAAGACCCAGAUUCAUCUUCUGAAGUGAAAUCACUAUACAGACAAGAAAAUAAAAUCAUUAAAAGGAGAAAUACAUAAAGAGAAAUUGACUGAACUUUCCUGGUAGUACAGUGGAUAAGAAUCUGCCUGUCAAUGUAGGGGACACGGGUUGAAUCCCUGGUCCAGGAAGAUUCCACAUGCCGUGGGGCAACUAAGCCCAUGCAUCACAAUUAC